GUCCACGCCGUAAACGAUGGGUGCUAGGUGUCGCGGGCUUUGACUCCUGCGGUGCCGUAGCUAACGCAUUAAGCACCCCGCCUGGGGAGUACGGCCGCAAGGCUAAAACUCAAAGGAAUUGACGGGGCCCGCACAAGCGGUGGAGCAUGUGGUUUAAUUCGACGCAACGCGCAGAACCUUAUCUGGGCUAGAAAAUGCAGAGACCUGGUCGAAAGGUCGGGUGCUCUUCGGAGAAUCUGUAGUUAGGUGCUGCAUGGCUGUCGU
rnacentral:rRNA from 1 species